AGUGAACGCUGGCGGUAGGCCUAACACAUGCAAGUCGAACGAGUGGCGGACGGGUGAGGAAUACAUCGGAAUCUACUCUGUCGUGGGGGAUAACGUAGGGAAACUUACGCUAAUACCGCAUACGAUUGAAUGAGCCGAUGUCGGAUUAGCUAGUUGGCGGGGUAAAGGCCCACCAAGGCGACGAUGCGUAACUGGUCUGAGAGGGUGAUCAGUCACACUGGAACUGAGACACGGUCCAGACUCCUACGGGAGGCAGCAGUGGGGAAUCUUGGACAAUGGGCGAAAGUCUGACCCAGCCAUGCCGCGUGUGUGAAGAAGGUUUUCGGAUUGUAAAGCACUGUAAGUUGGGAGGCGGUACCAACAGAAUAAGCACCGGCUAACUUCGUGCCAGCAGCCGCGGUAAUAC
rnacentral:rRNA from 1 species